UAUUUCUCUCUUGUUGCUGGCAUAAUCAACUUUGUCAAAGAGUCAUAUGGUUUGUGCAACCAUAAAGAUAGUCUUGGAACACUGAUACAUAUUUGGAUGGAAAAUUGCCUUUCUGCAAUUGUGUUAUGGCUACAUUGCAAUUAGGAAAUGGAAAAUGAAUAUCUGAGAUCCAACAAAAUCUGGUCUCAUCAGCAUCAGAACCAUGUAUGGAAAGAGAAAACAAAACACAGACUUAAGAGGAUGGCAAAAAAGAAAGACCAGCAGGAAUGGAAAAAAUACUCAUAAGUGGUGCAGUUGAACUUUGGGAAUAAACCAGCCUUAGCAAAAA